UGAAGGCCUUCGGGUUGUAAACCGCUGUCMGARAGGSGGAAAUGCUUGGGGGUUCUCCCCCAAGUUUGACCUAMUCUCAGAGGAAGCGCAGGCUAAUUCCGUGCCAGCAGCCGCGGUAAUACGGAAUGCGCGRACGUUAUUCGGUAUCACUGGGCUUAAAGGGUCCGUAGGCGGCUUGGCAGGUGGGGYGUGAAAUCCCUCGGCUCAACCGAGGAAUUGCGCCUCAAACCGCCAAGCUUGAGGGAGACAGGGGUGAGCGGAACAGAUGGUGGAGCGGUGAAAUGCGUUGAUAUCAUCUGGAACACCGGUGGCGAAGGCGGCUCACUGGGUCUCUUCUGACKCUGAGGGACGAAAGCUAGGGGAGCGAACGGGAUUAGAUACCCCGGUWGUCCUAGCUGUAAACGAUGAGCACUAGACUGAAGGGACCUCCACAUCCUUUCGGUCGUAGCMAAAGCGUUAAGUGCUCCGCCYGGGGAGUAUGGUCGCAAGGCUGAAACUCAMASGAAUUGACGGGGGCUCACAYAMGCGGUGGRGGAUGUGGCUUAAUUCKAGGCUACGCGAAGAACCUUAUCCUGGKCUUGACAUGCUUGGGAACACCCUGGAAACAGGGUGGUGCCUUUCKGGGRACACYUGCWCAGGUGCUGCRUGGSUGUCKUCAGCUCKUGUCGUGAGAUGUCGCGUUAAGUYGCUUAACRAGCGAAACCCUUGUCGCCAGUUGCC
rnacentral:rRNA from 1 species